GGGCUGUUAGCUCAACGGCAGAGCGCAUGACUCUUAAUCAUGAGGUUUAGGUUCGAUUCCUAGGCGGCCCC
rnacentral:tRNA from 1 species